rnacentral:rRNA from 1 species
AGUGAACGCUGGCGGUAGGCCUAACACAUGCCAGUCGAACGGCAGCACAGUAAUAGCUUGCUCUUACGGGUGGCGAGUGGCGGACGGGUGAGGAAUACAUCGGAAUCUACUUUUUCGUGGGGGAUAACGUAGGGAAACUUACGCUAAUACCGCAUACGACCUACGGGUGAAAGCAGGGGAUCUUCGGACCUUGCGCGAUUGAAUGAGCCGAUGUCGGAUUAGCUAGUUGGCGGGGUAAAGGCCCACCAAGGCGACGAUCCGUAGCUGGUCUGAGAGGAUGAUCAGCCACACUGGAAGUGAGACACGGUCCAGACUCCUACGGGAGGCAGCAGUGGGGAAUAUUGGACAAUGGGCGCAAGCCUGAUCCAGCCAUACCGCGUGGGUGAAGAAGGCCUUCGGGUUGUAAAGCCCUUUUGUUGGGAAUGAAAAGCAGCAGGUUAAUACCCCGCUGUUCUGACGGUACCCAAAGAAUAAGCACCGGCUAACUUCGUG